rnacentral:rRNA from 1 species
AACGACUCUCGGCAAMGGAUAUCUCGCUCUCGCAUCGAUGAAGAACGUAGCGAAAUGCGAUACUUGGUGUGAAUUGCAGAAUCCCGUGAACCAUCGAGUAUUUGAACGCAAGUUGUGCCCGAAGCCAUUAGGCUGAGGGCAUGUCUGGUUGGGUGUCACGCAACG